rnacentral:rRNA from 1 species
GAUGAACGCUGGCGGCGUGCCUAAUACAUGCAAGUCGAGCGAACAGACGAGGAGCUUGCUCCUCUUACGUUAGCGGCGGACGGGUGAGUAACACGUGGAUAACCUACCUAUAUGACUGGGAUAACUUCGGGAAACCGGAGCUAAUACCGGAUAAUAUAUUGAACCGCAUGGUUCAAUAGUGAAAGACGGUUUUGCUGUCACUUAUAGAUGGAUCCGCGCCGCAUUAGCUAGUUGGUAAGGUAACGGCUUACCAAGGCAACGAUGCGUAGCCGACCUGAGAGGGUGAUCGGCCACACUGGAACUGAGACACGGUCCAGACUCCUACGGGAGGCAGCAGUAGGGAAUCUUCCGCAAUGGGCGAAAGCUUGACGGAGCAACGCCGCGUGAGUGAUGAAGGUCUUCGGAUCGUAAAACUCUGUUAUUAGGGAAGAACAAAUGUGUAAGUAACUAUGCACGUCUUGACGGUACCUAAUCAGAAAGCAACGGCUAACUACGUG